CUUUUCUCUCCAGCUGCCUCGCAUGAUGGCAAAUGGCAUAUUUAAAUGGUAAAAGGCUUGAUCUCUAUCUCAAAACAUUUGACAUACUCACACUGAAGAUGGAAAAAACUGUUUUUGAUGGCUUCAGAGGAAAGACUGUGUACUAAGAAGAGGUUUGCAAUUCAACUGAAAAAAAAUCAAAGACACCUGAGAACAUUUUAUGACUUAAAAAGUUUUCUUUUCUUGAAAUAAAAACUACUGCUGGAGAUCUCUCCUCCCAUAUCUUAUCAGCUCAACUACCUAGUGUGAUUUGAAUCACCCGAACCUCAGCUUAAGGAAGAGAGAGAGAGAGAAAAGAAAAACCUUUGGUAAA
rnacentral:lncRNA from 10 species